UGCAAACAGGUUACAGGUUUAUUGUUGAUCACGUUAUGGCAGGCUAGUUGAACGGACUCAAGAGCGGACUCGGGGCAGGUUUAAACCCAGGAUUUUAAAGUUUAUUGAAAAACGGGGUGCGAGAGAGGAGCAGAGGGCCAGGGAAUGGAGACCUGCGCGUGGAUCUCCAGGCAGGCAGUGAGCUGGGUGAGGCAGUGGCAGAAUCUCCAGGCAGGCAGUGAUCCUGAACACAGAGAGACAAGGUUGGAUAAGCCCUUCAGGACUUCCAGUUCCAGUUCCUCUCCUGUGAAAUCAGGUCCCAGUUUGGGGAGUAGACUGCUAAUGGUGCCCCGGGCAAAAUUUUAACAAGGACAAGAGUCUUUUGACCAACUGCCGGCCCCGGAGCUAUUUUUUACACACAAACAACAGCUGUAUUUGGACUGAAAACAGCGAAAACGGCAAAAGUACAUUCACCCUUGUCCUCCGUUCGGCUGGGC